UAAAGAUGUAUUCGGCACUGCAACAGGAUUGGCUGCACCUGCACUUGAUCCCUUGGCUGUCUCCACAGCAUAUAUGAAAGGAAAAACUAAUGCAUGGGUCUCAAGUUUUCUGCAGAUGUGAAGGUAGCAGUGAAAAACAAAGUUCCUCUUGUAAGGUCAUUGACUUGAGCUGUGUUACAUUCUGUAUUGAAACAAGUAACACAGCGACCAUACCUAAGGUUCACGGGGAAUAUAUUCCCUCAUUUAUUUUGGAGUGGUCUAGGCAACUGGUAUGCUGUUUUAUCUUAUGAUGCAUCUGUGCGUCUAUGCCUCCACUCAUGGGCAAGGAGCUGUAUGGGAGCUCCUCCCUUUUUGGAAAAUGAAUGUUCACUGCUGAGGGAUGUAUUAGGGUUAAGAAAUAUAUUAUUAAAAUCAGAGGAAGAGCUGGAAACAUCUUUAAAGUCUUCAUCCACGGUUAAGCUGGAAACAUUUCAGUAAAGG